rnacentral:tRNA from 1 species
GGUGGCUUGCUUGAGCGCCAGCAUGUCGUCGGUCACCAGCCGAGGGGUGAAGGGCACGUUCUGGCGCGCGCCGUUCGGCCCGUCCAGCCGCCAC